AGCUGUCCUCCUCGGUUCAUGACGCCAAUUCCGAGUUCGCCUCUUCCUCUCCUCGGGCUAGAGCCAGAGCUCGAGCUCUCCCCUGCUCUGGAGCGGUGUCGCCGCCCGCCAUGGUCGCCGGUCCUGCCUGAGCUCCGCGGAGUACCCUCUCCACCCUACCCCGACCCGAUUUGAUCCCACCUCUACCUUCACUUCGCCGCGCUGAAGCUCCCAGGCCGUUUCCCCACUGCGCAGGCCCGCCCAGAACAGCCGCUGGCUGCCAUGGUUGCCGCCGCCCACGGCCUCCCCGCUGAGCUCCCACCUCCGGCCUUCCCCAGCUCCAAUAGACCUCGGGAAUGGUUUCACCUCGCCCCAACGGAGCUCCCAAGCCCAGCCAAGCCGCCUCCCACUCGCCGGAGUGCCGCAGCCGCGGCACAGGGCCGCCGCCCGCGGAUAGCCCGCUACGGGCCACCUCAGCCUCCACCGAGACCAUCUACAGGUGGUACAUCUGAGGAUGUGAUUGAUGUCAUGUACGGGCUUCAUCAUGACGUCUUCUAUCGUCGCUAGACUAUUGUGUAUUUUUCUGCUGCCCUUGAACUUUGUUGUCUUUUUAUAAAUUCAAACUUGGUUUGUAAUAUUAAUUCAAUUUCAUACUCUAUGCUGUAAAAUUUGAGGAAUGUUGCUUU